UACGAAGGGGGCUAGCGUUGCUCGGAAUCACUGGGCGUAAAGCGCACGUAGGCGGAUUGUUAAGUCAGGGGUGAAAUCCUGGAGCUCAACUCCAGAACUGCCUUUGAUACUGGCGAUCUCGAGUCCGGGAGAGGUGAGUGGAACUGCGAGUGUAGAGGUGAAAUUCGUAGAUAUUCGCAAGAACACCAGUGGCGAAGGCGGCUCACCGGCCCGGUACUGACGCUGAGGUGCGAAAGCGUGGGGAGCAAACAGG
rnacentral:rRNA from 1 species